ensembl:sRNA
GACAUUGGUAAUGGUACUCCCAGUUACUGGGAUGGGGUUCGAUUCCCUACAAUGUC